GAGGAUAUGAUUUCAAACUUGUCGCGCAAGUCUUAGGGUCCGCUCAGGUGGAUCUAUGCUGAUUGACAUAUUUUUAACUCUGACUC